AUUGAACGCUGGCGGCAUGCUUUACACAUGCAAGUCGAACGGCAGCGCGGGCUUCGGCCUGGCGGCGAGUGGCGAACGGGUGAGUAAUGCAUCGGAACGUGCCCAGUAGUGGGGGAUAGCCCGGCGAAAGCCGGAUUAAUACCGCAUACGACCUGAGGGUGAAAGCGGGGGACCGAAAGGCCUCGCGCUAUUGGAGCGGCCGAUGUCGGAUUAGCUAGUUGGUGGGGUAAAGGCUUACCAAGGCGACGAUCCGUAGCUGGUCUGAGAGGACGACCAGCCACACUGGGACUGAGACACGGCCCAGACUCCUACGGGAGGCAGCAGUGGGGAAUUUUGGACAAUGGGGGCAACCCUGAUCCAGCCAUGCCGCGUGCGGGAAGAAGUCCUUCGGGUUGUAAACCGCUUUUGUUCGGGAAGAAAUCCUCUGGGCUAAUACCCCGGGGGGAUGACGGUACCGGAAGAAUAAGCACCGGCUAACUACGUG
rnacentral:rRNA from 1 species